UACAGAGGUCUCAAGCGUUGUUCGGAUUCAUUGGGCGUAAAGGGUGCGUAGGUGGCGCCGUAAGUCGGGUGUGAAAUUUCGGAGCUUAACUCCGAAACUGCAUUCGAUACUGCGGUGCUUGAGGACUGGAGAGGAGACUGGAAUUCAUGGUGUAGCAGUGAAAUGCGUAGAUAUCGAGAGGAACACCAGUGGCGAAGGCGAGUCCCUGGACAACACCUGACACUGAGGCACGAAAGCUAGGGGAGCAAACAGG
rnacentral:rRNA from 1 species